rnacentral:ncRNA from 2 species
GCACAAGGUAGAGGUUGCACAGAUUAUGAGUAACCGGGCAGAUGCGGCAGACGCAGAUGAAGCCCGGCAAAAGGGAUUUGUGCCGAAGGGGUCAUUGCUGCGGAUGAUUCCCUGGGUGCAGCUUGAAGAAGGCUGUAACUGUCAUCUGAUAAGAUGGGGCGCUAUCAGUGAU